GGCUUCCGGGUGCCUUACCACAGAAUGUGUUCUUAUACUAUAUAGAAGGAGGAGGGAAAGUAAACCUACCCCGUAUACACCUAGGUCCAGGCCCUGUGCAUGGUCUGUAUUGUGAAUGGGAAGACAUGG
rnacentral:snoRNA from 1 species